GGACGGGCUGGUGAGGCGGUGACUAGGAGGAUGGCGCGGGGGGUGGUUAGGGUUUGAUUCCAGGUGGAGGAUUUGAGGCCCUUUAAUGGGAGCCACUAUGUGCUCUUACCUGUCGUAGGUGGCUCUAGUUGGGCCUGCUUUCCAAAAGGAAAGGGAGUGUGAGGGUUUCCAAGGACUGGUGUUUUUGUUAUUGCACGUUAAUAUCCUGGUGGAUGUGCUGUUGUUUGCCAUCUCCUGUCGAGGCUGAGCGCCUUCUGUAUUCUCUGAUUCCUAAUGUGAUAGCUGCAGUGGGGUAGAGAGAUCUCCCACAGUGAGAGGCCUUAAAAUAACAGCAAAUAAUCAGUGUGCUGCAAGGAACAUCGCCUCAGGAAAUUAAAAACUAUGUGGCAUGGUGUGUGAGAUGUAUACUUGCUUGCUCUCAGCCAGCACAAAAAGCUGGUUUACUUGCUCUGCUGCUGUCAAUCCCAGCCCCUGUUAUGUCAGCCAGGGUUCUCAAAAAGUAUUUCACAUUGCCCUGCUUCUUACAGACAUCGGCAUCUAUCCAAAGACUCGUGCUGCAGCUGUGAGCCUAAUGGAGACAGCACCAAGUGAAGAUGCUCUUUUUCCGAGGGCAGCAUACACUCAGGGAGAUGACGGCCCAUCUGCGAUGACCUGUGAAUUGGAUCCAGAACUGAAGUUAAAGAAGAAACUUUUUACCAAGCCUCCGAAGUUACCAAGUAGAUCUCCAUACAGCACACAACUGUAUUCCAGAAAAGCUACAGUUUGGCCUUCUCCUCAGGGAACAGGCAGUGAAUAUCUUGAGAGUGCAGAUGUAAAAAAACAAAGGCUAAGAUCACUGAAACAAGGAAUGAGCUAUCCUCUGAAGUCAGAUGUUGACAUGGGGCAUGUGCAAGCUGGUUUUAGUAGCACUCCGGAAUAUUUGAAGGAAGUUCUAGGAACAAAGACCCCGAAACAUUCUUGUUCUUCUAGCAAUGGCUACAUUCCUGGGAAUCCUAACUACAAAGACAAAGAAGAUAUGUAUGAUGAAAUUAUACAACUGAAAAAGACAGUACAAGCUCAGAAAAUUGAGAGAAAUCAAAUGAAAACUAAGCUUCGUCAACUAGAAGAAAUGAUCAAUAGAAAGGAUAAACAAAUUGAAAAGCUGUUGGAUCCUUUCAAGGGCUCCGAGAUGGGACAAGCUUUGUCAGAAAAGAUGAAUAAUAAUGGAUGGGUGGCUAAUGGAUUGAAGCAGAGGAUUCUCAAGCUACAACAAUUGUGGAAGGAGAGAGACAAGACUAUUAACAAAUUCCAGGCAGACAUGAAGUCCACUAAUUUGGAAGAAAUGAAGUUAGCUAUGGAAACCUGCUCUGAAGAGGUUCAUCGUCUCCAACAGCUCCUGGAGAAAUCUGAGGCUAUGAGGAAAAAUACAGAGAGCAGAGAGACCCAAAAACACCUAAAGGCACUGAAUGCUGCUGUCCUGAGAUUAUGCAGGACCAUCAAAAAUUUGCAGGCUGAGAAUCGGAGGCUGAAAGAAGAUUUAGAUCAUGUACUGUGCAGUUCUCCUCCUUCCAAUGAAACAGAAAAUUACAGUGAGUGGAGCAUACCCAGGCUGGUGAGGCGGAUUUCAGAACUAGAAAAUAAAAUAAAUGCCAUGGAGAACGCCAGGGUGCCAUCAGCAGAUACCUGUGAGUCAGAGGUAUUUUCUCCACCAUGUUCAACUUCCGAAGACCUGGAUCAUCCAGUCUCUCAACAAGUAGACUAUCUUGAGGAAUGUCAUCGCCUCCAAGAGCUAGUGAAGAAACUCCAGAAAGAUAAGAGGGCACUUCAAAGUUUCUUACUCAGUAAAGAAGUGGAAAUCGAGAACCUGACACAGAAAUUAGGGAAACACGAGCCAAAAGAAGAGGAAAAGAAGAGUCAAGUGGCAGAAGAUAAAGUGGAAAAGGGUCUUAAGUUUUCACUGCAAGGCAAAGAUCAUCAAAGGAGAGAAGAAGCAGCCAGAAUCAUCCAGAGGUACUGGAAGAAGUAUCAGGACAAGCGAGGCGUAACUGAUCUGGACAAGGCAAUUAUUGCACUUCAGGCAACUUUCAGAGGACAUUUAGGUCGACAGAAACUGUUAAUGAAGAAGAGGAUGCAUGAGGCAAAUUCUCAUAACGAGAACUCCAGCAGGUCUUCCAUGUCAGACUCCUCGAGCUCAUCUUCUGAUUGCAAGGAGAAAGAUGAGAUGCUACCAUUCAUCCAGUCUGCUUUCAGGGCUCACUUAGCACGUAAAGAACAGCUUGUGGAGAGGUAAGUGAGGGACAGAUACUUCUGCAACACGCAGUAGCAAAAUUGGUUUUAUUGCAGGGGUGGGGUAGUUAUUUAAUACAAUUUUAGUGUUGGUUUCUUGGCAGAGAAGGCAAACAAGACCAUUAUUCCAACAAAGGGAGGACUUACUUGUGAAAAAAUCCAAAGGAUAUGCAACUAAAAGGGUUUCUAGUGGCAGUAGCGGUCUUCCCAUGUCCUGUUGCAUUCUCAUUUCUAUAUAAGUGAGAAAAAGUAAAGUAAAAUAAUUAGUCCUUGGAAAAAAAAUCAAAAUACAAUUGUUAUCAAACUGAUAGCUAAUACACCUUCUUAAUGUAAGGGGAUCUGAAGCUCUGACAUGUAAAAGUUAAGGGUUAUUUGCAGGAAGAACAGGGAAGAGCUAGAAUCUAGUGAUUUAGCUCAGGAAGAAUACAGUGAUUUGCUUACUGCUUAGGUUUGUGGUGACUGUGCCUUGAAAAAUACUCCUUUCUCUCCAAGGUUUACUCCUCAGAAAGUUUUUAAUGUUGGCUGCCAUGGUUACAAAGAGAGUUAAGCUGUCACCUCACUUUAGUGUCUGGAGCUCACUUCUGCAAGUGAUAAGCUUUUGUUUCUUGGACGCUAGCAACAUAAACUUUUCAGCAUGCACUCUGAAAACAGGCUGCAGUUACUUCUCUGUUCCUCACGCGAUGCAUUAUGUCUUUCUUCCCUCUGUGUCCACUGCAUUACAUGAGAAAGGAGAUUCUGCAGUUCACAGUCCAGAGAAGAAACUGGUUUUAGCAGGAGUCCAGAGGUGACCUUCAAACAUCAUGUUGUCUCUUCCUGCUCUGUUGCUGUAGUAUGGUACUUUCCACUGUGUUUCGGGCCUGAAGCCAUAGACAAGCUGAGAAUGUUUUCAUCAUCCUUACUUAGUUUCUGAAGGGGACAGACAUCUGGUAAAAAGAACCAUCCUAGUCAGCCAUGUGUAACAUUGUUUUCAGCAGUCUUCAGAUGCUGCAGUAAAGAGAAAAAUGAAGUCCUGGGUAACUUUGCCAACUAGUACUACUAUAAUACAAACUGGGAAAAUGUC